ACGUGUAUUCCACCAUUAGUUCAAAAUUGUCUGCUACUACACUCCAAUAGUACAAUCUAGAAACUCCUAUUAUCCUGAUCGAUCAUCUUCUUCUUUUUUAUUGUUCAUCGGAUACCUCCUUUUUUGUUCUUUCUUUUGCUCUUCUCUGAGACCUUAAAUUCGUUUCACUUUUCUUUCAAAUUUCUAAAUUUGGUUCCAAAUUGUCACUUCUGAUUUCUCAAUUUCUCAAUUAGUGAGAGUUUUUGCAUUCUUUUCUUUGUUUAACGCACCCCUGAUUCUUCCAUGCCUCAUUUCUUAGUUUUCGUUUGAAUUUCUCCAUAUUGAUUACUAUUUGUAUCUGGUCUCUCUUGAAUCUAUGAGUUCUGCCGAGGGUUGUGGCCAUUUUUUUCCCGUUGUUGCUAGGUAAUUUGGUUGCUACACCUGACUGGACUUGCAAGAUAGAAGUUGUUGACAGAGAUAAAAUUCUAGAAUCUUAUCUUGCAAGAUGAUGAGGUAAUUCAUUUAUCUUCUAUGCAUGAACCGAUGUGUUUGAUGAUAUGCCUGAGCCAUUUUAUUUUGAUGAUAUGGCAGAGUCAUUUUAUUUGGAGUUUUCGUUUGCUCUUUUAUAGUAUGCAGUUCUUUGUCUUUUCCAUCUUUCCUUUGGAAUGAAGUGCUACAGUCUUGAACUUCUUUUGGUUUCUUAUUCACUGAACAUUACAAAUAUACUCUAUUACUGCUUCUUUUUCAUUUAAAUUGGUCUACCGCAAACGUAAUUUUAUUUAUGUUUUUGUUAUUAAUAUGUUCUCUAUCCAAAAGUCAGGGAUUCGUCUGCUUAGAUUUUGUUCUUCUAGACUGGUUUUUCAAGCCAAGAAACAAGAUGCUGCCUCCUUUUUUCUGAAAAGUUGAUGGAGAAUGUGGUUACCUCAAAUUUCUUUUCAAAAGUUUCUUACAUGGGAGGUUUCUUCCUUUCUAUCAUGUUUAGCACUUGGUUUGUGUUCAUGUAACAAUGAAAGGACCGGGUGGUACUACAUAAAAAUAAUCUUAGAUGACCUGGCUAGCAACCUUAUGAGAAUGACCAUUUAGAGUCUCUUCGCCCAGUAAAUUCUUUCAAUCGCCUUUUCUUCUCUCAUGUGUGUUAUCUAAAGUAAUCUUAUGCUCAUAUAAUGUAGUUGACGUUUCUGAGAAUAAGAAUAGUUCUCUGAAUUUUCUCUUUUGCUAA